UUAUUUUGUGACUGAGUGGCGGACGGGUGAGUAACGCGUGGGUAACCUGCCUUGUACAGGGGGAUAACAGUUGGAAACGGCUGCUAAUACCGCGUAAGCGCACAGCAUCGCAUGAUGCAGUGUGAAAAACUCCGGUGGUAUAAGAUGGACCCGCGUUGGAUUAGCUAGUUGGUGAGGUAACGGCCCACCAAGGCGACGAUCCAUAGCCGACCUGAGAGGGUGACCGGCCACAUUGGGACUGAGACACGGCCCAAACUCCUACGGGAGGCAGCAGUGGGGAAUAUUGCACAAUGGGCGAAAGCCUGAUGCAGCGACGCCGCGUGAGCGAAGAAGUAUUUCGGUAUGUAAAGCUCUAUCAGCAGGGAAGAUAAUGACGGUACCUGGCUAAGAAGCACCGGCUAAAUACGUGCCAGCAGCCGCGGUAAUACGUAUGGUGCAAGCGUUAUCCGGAUUUACUGGGUGUAAAGGGAGCGCAGGCGGUGCGGCAAGUCUGAUGUGAAAGCCCGGGGCUCAACCCCGGUACUGCAUUGGAAACUGUCGUACUAGAGUGUCGGAGGGGUAAGCGGAAUUCCUAGUGUAGCGGUGAAAUGCGUAGAUAUUAGGAGGAACACCAGUGGCGAAGGCGGCUUACUGGACGA
rnacentral:rRNA from 1 species